rnacentral:rRNA from 1 species
UACGUAGAGGGCAAGCGUUGUCCGGAAUCAUUGGGCGUAAAGAGCGUGUAGGCGGUCCGGUAAGUCGGCUGUGAAAGUCCAGGGCUCAACCCUGGGAUGCCGGUCGAUACUGCCGGACUAGAGUUCGGAAGAGGCGAGUGGAAUUCCCGGUGUAGCGGUGAAAUGCGCAGAUAUCGGGAGGAACACCUAUGGCGAAGGCAGCUCGCUGGGACGUUACUGACGCUGAGACGCGAAAGCGUGGGGAGCAAACAGG